rnacentral:piRNA from 1 species
UGCCAGUUGGCAAAGAUCAAAAGUCAACGUC